rnacentral:rRNA from 1 species
AUUGAACGCUGGCGGCAGGCCUAACACAUGCAAGUCGAGCGAGCGGCGGACGGGUGAGUAAUGUAUGGGGACUGCCCGAUAGAGGGGGAUCAAUACUGGAAACGGUGGCUAAUACCGCAUACUAUCGUAUAACCCAUAUGGGAUUAGGUAGUAGGCGGGGUAAAGGCUCACCUAGGCGACGAUCUCUAGCUGGUCUGAGAGGAUGACCAGCAAAACGGGGACUGGGACACGCCCCAGACUCCAACGGAGGCAGAAGGGGGGAAUAUUGCAAAAUGGGGGAAAGCCGGAGGAAGACAGGCGGGGUGUAUAAAGAGGGCCUUAGGGUGGUAAGGUACGUUCAGCGGGGAGGCGUUACCCGAAGAAGAAGCACCGGCUAACUCCGUGCCAGCAGCCGCGGUAAUUC